rnacentral:rRNA from 1 species
UACAGAGGUCCCAAGCGUUGUUCGGAUUCAUUGGGCGUAAAGGGUGCGUAGGCGGUGCCGUAAGUCGGAUGUGAAAUCUUGGGGCUCAACCCUGAAACUGCAUUCGAUACUGCGGUGCUAGAGGACUGGAGAGGAAACUGGAAUUCACGGUGUAGCAGUGAAAUGCGUAGAUAUCGUGAGGAAGACCUGUGGCGAAGGCGGGUUUCUGGACAGUACCUGACGCUGAGGCACGAAGGCCAGGGGAGCAAACGGG